rnacentral:rRNA from 1 species
UACACUCCUACGGGAGGCAGCAGUGGGGAAUAUUGGACAAUGGGCGCAAGCCUGAUCCAGCCAUGCCGCGUGAGUGAUGAAGGCCCUAGGGUUGUAAAGCUCUUUCACCGGUGAAGAUAAUGACGGUAACCGGAGAAGAAGCCCCGGCUAACUUCGUGCCAGCAGCCGCGGUAAUACGAAGGGGGCUAGCGUUGUUCGGAUUUACUGGGCGUAAAGCGCACGUAGGCGGACUAUUAAGUCAGGGGUGAAAUCCCGGGGCUCAACCCCGGAACUGCCUUUGAUACUGGUAGUCUUGAGUUCGAGAGAGGUGAGUGGAAUUCCGAGUGUAGAGGUGAAAUUCGUAGAUAUUCGGAGGAACACCAGUGGCGAAGGCGGCUCACUGGCUCGAUACUGACGCUGAGGUGCGAAAGCGUGGGGAGCAAACAGGAUUAGAAACCCUGGUAGUCCC